AUAAUAAAAAAUAAUAAAAUAGUAUAGAGCUUCCCCACCACCAUAUCAAAUACUCCUCUCCUCUUUAAUUUCCAGAACUUUCCUAUCUAAGAACCCACUGUCUCUUUCAUCCACUUGCUAUUCGUGGAAAGGAUUUUUCAAUAAAAUAACAUAAUAUUGCUUCCAAGAUGUCUAGAAUGUUCUUAAUAAUACACCUCUUGGUAUUAUUUUUUUUACUCUCUCUUCCUAUAUAAACCUUCAUAACACUUCUUCUAUAGCUUUCUUCUAAUAUAGGUAAGACAACUCAUCAAAAUUAUUUUUUCAACUUCCUUAACGACUUUCCAAACUCCCCAACAUACUUAAAAAACCCAUAUUUCCAAUGCAAAAUUUGUUCUUCCUACUUGUUUCACUUAUCAAUUUCAUUAAAUCAAAUCCACUCCCUUACAAUUGCACUUCUUUUAAAUUCCUCCUCUUAUUUCAUUAAAUCAAAUCCUUUUUUUUUUAACUAAAAUUAAUAGGACUCCAUUGUUUUCGAGCAACCCUUAAAAUGAACUAUUUGUAUCCAGUGAAAGAAGAGUAUUUGGAAGUUGAAGGAGGAAGUGAUGAGGGAACAAUGGUUGCUAUUCCUAGGCCAAUGGAGGGGUUACAUGAAGUGGGACCACCACCAUUUCUAACCAAGACUUUUGAUGCUGUGGAGGACCCCACAACUUGUCACAUAGUUUCAUGGAGCAGAGGAGGUUCUAGCUUUGUUGUUUGGGAUCCAAAUGCUUUCUCAAGAGACCUUCUUCCUAGAUACUUCAAACACAACAAUUUCUCGAGUUUUGUUAGACAACUAAACACUUAUGGAUUUAGAAAAAUUGAUCCUGAUAGGUGGGAAUUUGCAAAUGAAGGAUUUCUAAGAGGGCAUAAACAACUUUUAGCAAACAUAAAGAGAAGGAGACAAAUUUCACAACCUAGUACUUCUCAACAAUCAUCACAAGGUCAUUGUGUUGAAGUUGGAAAUUUCGGUUUAGACGAAGAAAUCGAUCAUUUGAGACGCGACAAACAAGUGUUGAUGAUGGAACUUGUGAAGCUUAGACAGCAACAACAGAACACAAGAUCUUAUCUACAAGCAAUGGAAGAAAGACUACGUGGAAUAGAAAUCAAACAGCAACAAAUGAUGGCUUUUCUAGCUAGAGCUAUGAAAAAUCCAGCUUUUAUUCAGCAACUAGUUCAACAGAAGGAAAAGAGGAAAGAGAUUGAAGAAGCUAUUACUAAGAAGAGGAGAAGACCAAUUGAGUAUGGAACAAGUUAUGUUGGAGAAUCAAGCAUUGGUGGUGAAUAUGGAAGGAAUUGUGUUAAAUUUGGAUUUGAAGUUUCAGAGUUGGAAGUUUUGGCAAUGGAAAUGCAGGGUCUUGGAAAGGGUAGGAGAGAAAUUGAGGAAGAGAAUGAGGUAUGUGAAACUCAUGAGAAAUUGGAGAAAGAACUUGAUGAAGGGUUUUGGGAAGAACUUUUUAGUGAGAAAUUUGAAAGUGAAUUAGAUAUUUUAACUUCUCAAGGAGACGAUGAAGAUGUUAAUGUGUUGGCCGAACGAUUUGAUUAUUUGGGUUCGAGUCCCAAAUGAAAUUUGAUCUCUCUAUUAGUGUCUGAAAUAUAAAUUGGACACUAAAAAGAAAUUUGAAUUUGUAGUAGCAUCAUCUGGGUUGCCACGGGAGAUCAUUUCAAUUAUUGUGUUUCUAACCCCCUAUCAUAUAUGUCCUUUUCUAGUAACAGCUUCCAAUUUCAAUUUCUCAUAUUUCAUAUUUCUCUAUCUUUGAUUAGGUAGGUUUUGCAGCUGAUGCUUGGACAAGAACCUGUGGUAGUUCAUAGGAGAUGAUUAUUUUCUCAAGAUGAAUCAGAAGAUGUAGAAUGGAUACGAUGUAGCUGAUGUUCAGGAAUCAUAACUGAAUCUUGCUUUUUGAAUGAAGAUCCUCUUGGUGGUUAUAACCUUGUCGGUUUGAUAUUUUUCAUCCCUUUAUGCUUUUAUAAUUCUUUGUACUUUGUCCAUGUGGCAUGUGGUCAGAAAUAAAAAACGAGGUGAGAUAAAUAAAAUAAAACGAGGCCUCCAUCAAACGAAUUUCAUGAUGUUACAUAUGUAGUGUUUUUGUUAGGUAACUUUGUGUUCAAGAUUCCUUUCUCAUUUCAAAAACAUAUAACAAAUUUAAAUUUGGGGGAUCUAAGUGAAACGUGUCAAAGUUUAGAGCA